UUUCAUUUUCUUCAUAGCACCAUUGGUAUGUUGAGAGGAUUAAAUGAAAUAAUUACUUCCAGUUCUGCUUCCUACCAAGAUGCUGACAAAGUAAAAUGACUGGCUCCCUCCCACAAGAUCAACUUCAGAGGAGCUACAGAGGGGAAAAGAACCCCGCCAAGUUACCUGGUAAACACCAAAUACUGAAAAAACAGAAAAGUCUGCGGCAGUGCAGCUGUCUGAACUGUUGUCUGUGAGAGGAUGGGUAUAGCCUGGGGCCGGAGGCAAUGGAGGACAAAACAGGAAAGAAACUGGUAGAGUUUGGCUUUUGCUUCUCCCCUGCCAUUCUCUUCGGACAAACUGUGCCUGUUCCUAUAGAGCAGCAACAAAGAUCUCCAGGACAUACAGAGAGAAAAAUACAAACAGAUAUUUGAAGGUAAGGCGAACACAGAGACAUGGGUGCCUGGAGGCAGAGAAAGAUUUAUUCAAAUUGGCCAAAACAAGAAGGAGGAGGAUAGGUUCUCUCAAAUCCACCUUCACAAGAGAGGAAGCAAUAACAGGCUGUGAAUUUUCUCGCCUCAGGAGAGGUACAGGACAGGCAGGAGGGCAGAGUCAGCCUGCCAAACUUUUACCUGUUUUUGUGGCCCACACACCUGAGCUAAGCGAGGAUCACACGACGUUCAGGAGGACGCAGGGGCCCUGGAGGAGCAGGGGCAGGAGAGGCUCCCCCGUCGGAGGUCCACGAGGGCCGGAGCUGUGCUGAGAAUCUACGCGGGAAGCAAACACCGCUCCAUGGUGGAGCCCGAGGAGGGUUGCCACCAUUAUGUGCAAUCUGAUGCCUUGGUUUCCUAUUUCUGGGCUGAAGAACUUCCUCAAGUAAUUGUUUUCACACAGGGAGCCUGAAUGGCCCAAAUACUCUCACGAGGAAGCAUCUUGAGGGAACUCCACUGAUGGGUGCCCCACAGCCAGCUCCUCCCUUCGAAUUCGCGAUGCUGAGCCUGGAGCUUAUCUGAGGCUUCCUAGAAAGAAC
rnacentral:lncRNA from 1 species